GGAAUAUCUUUUCCAACAAAAGUUAGCCAUCCAAAGAAGAUUGCUUAGAAGACUUCUUUGUGCUAGAGUGCUGGAACACUUGUGAGGAUUUCUCUGAGUUGGGAAUAUCUGAUUUCAGAAACAAGAUGAUCAACUUAAAUCUUACAAAACAUAUACUUCCCCAUAAUCAUGAAACAAUCUUGUUAGCUUGCUUAAAUUACAAAAACUCAAUCUUCUACCUCAAAAUUCCUUAGGCUUUUCCAGCGCACCUUAAGAAACCUCCAUUUUUCUAGCUUAAUUUUUUGCUAAACUAGCUCAAAUUAAAAGUUUUGAAUCCCAACUGCUUGCAGUGAGCUUCAAACAUUCUUACUUUCACUUUUAUUCUUAUUUUUGUUCAGUCUCAUCAGCAAUUCUGAAGAAUUCAUCUCACAGUUACAAGAGCACAAUUUCAAGUCUUGAGAGCCUGAUUCUUGCAAAUAAGGUUUAAUCAGAUUCCAAAACUUCCAUUCCAAAUGCUGCUUCAAUUGACUGAUAACAGGAUGAAGGCACAUUUGGCUCCUCAUUUCAUUUAGUUUUUCCUACCAGUGCUUAUCACUGGUUUUAAUCCAAUUCAAUAAUCAAUCUUAUGAAUUUUCAUGUCCCUUUAAAUGCUAGAUAAAAUUUUAAAAAAUGCAGCCA
rnacentral:misc_RNA from 1 species